GAUGAACGCUAGCGGCAGGCUUAAUACAUGCAAGUCAAGGGGGUAGCAAUACAACCGGCGCACGGGUGAGUAACGCGUACACAACAUACCAUAUACUGGGGUAUAGCUUUGGGAAACUGAAGGUAAUCCCCCAUAACAUUGCGAGAGGGCAUCUGAUUGCAAUUAAAGUUUCGGCGGUAUAUGAUUGGUGUGCGUUUGAUUAGCUAGUUGGUAGGGUAACGGCCUACCAAGGCGACGAUCAAUAGCUGGCGUGAGAGCGCGACCAGCCACACUGGAACUGAGACACGGUCCAGACUCCUACGGGAGGCAGCAGUAGGGAAUAUUGGACAAUGGAGGAAACUCUGAUCCAGCCAUGCCGCGUGAUAGAUGAAGGCCCUCUGGGUUGUAAAUAUCUUUUAUCUGGGAAGAACAAUCUUAUUCUUAAGAUCUUGACGGUACCAGAGGAAUAAGCACCGGCUAACUCCGUGCCAGCAGCCGCGGUAAAGUAGU
rnacentral:rRNA from 1 species